rnacentral:lncRNA from 1 species
CUGCAGGUAUUGAGGGCUAUUUGUGUUUCAUCCUGCAUAGGUCUCUUCUUGCUCGCGUUAAAACAAGUUUCCCAUCUCUGAAAUUUAUUGUUUGAAUUGGAUUAACACAUGAUAUGUGCCUAUAUUUGUUUCAGUACGUAUAGGACAGCAAUGGCAUAUCAUUCCUACCAUUCCAUGCAAUCUAUUGGCUCGAACAAAUCAUCUAAUACUCAGGAGUCAGGACCACAACUUACUACUCUUUUUACAUAUGCCAGUCAUGAUCACUACUUAAGAUUAAAGAAAGGCUUGGAUGACUUUAGGUUGGCAUAUACAGUAUAUGUGAGUCAACUACUUUUUCCCUUAUUCUUCUAUUCUAUACAGGGUGGAGGUACCAGAGUUAUGCACAUAGAAAUCAGCCCCAUCCGCUUGCUACAGAGUUAUCUGGUGGUAUCUCGAUCAUUCCACACGAGAUAAGCCCUGCCGCCAUCUUUGCUCACCUGAUUCGGAGCAGCAAUUUACUGCAGCUAGCGCAUGUAAUCAUGCCCACAUCCGGGUGAGUAUCCAGUGGUUUCCUUCUGCGCACUGUUAUGCAUUAACGCAAUUUCAGUUCUUUAAUGGAUCCUGAUGAUGUCAUUCAGGUGAUUAUUUAUUGUGUAGAUGCACCCUAUUUUCUGACUUCCUGAGUUAUGGUGGAGCUUAGCUUUUAUGUGAGAUCGAAGGGAAUUCACUUCAGUGAUGGAUGAAAAAAUCAUUUGUGAGAGUUGGGUGUUUUAUGUAUUGUUAAUUGUUAAAGGAGAUUGAAAUUCCUGGCUUGGCGUUGGUGGUCAUAGUCUACGGCUCUCAAUUUUGUCCUCCUUCACAGAUUUAGUCCUUUACUAGCUUUCAGUGCUUCACUUUUGCCAUUGAAAAUGUAACCUUCAGGGAUUUUCAGAGAGCAACAUUCAGUGGUUCAUAUACAGGUCUGAUAGGUAUUGUGGCAUUCCAGUCCUUGGCCGUGGAGUUCAUUCUUGCAUAUGUAUUUUUUUAGUUCAUUCUUACAUAUGUAUUGUAUUCUUAGCAGCAAUAUUUUUUGAUGAUAUGUCCGACAUCAUCUAAUCUUUUGUGAACACUUGCUAGAGUAUAUGAUACAAUGAGAGUAUCUUAUUU